GCCCAGGAUCCUGGGGAAGAGGGGGGAGGGUGGCGUCUCUGCUCCUAGAGCGCUGGCCCGGCCCAGAGGGGACAGGAAGCCAGGACACCGGGGAUUGUCUCUUGCAAGCACAGCCCAGUCCCGGCUUGGGAGGAAGUUCUGCCGAGCGCUCUCCGCCGGUUAUAUUGUUGAACAGGAAACAGGGCAUCGCCGGAGCAGGGCUGUGGAGCAGGCAGCUCCGGACGCGGACCCCACGCGCGUCUGCCGGGACAAGUGGAAGCUAGGCCAGCGGGCGAAAGUUCUAAGUGUCUCCUGUUUCGCGCUGUUUCUUCAGUCUCGGUCCUUGGAAGUCCCUCCCACAGAUAUGGUAGAGGCCUAGUCUGCUUCCCUCCGUCAGCCCCGCCCAUGGGCAGCCUGAGAUCCUCCCAGCUAACAAAAGCGCGGUGGUCGCGAUGGCGGCGGACGUCGAGGGGGACGUGUACGUGCUGGUGGAACACCCCUUCGAGUACACCGGCAAAGACGGGCGCCGCAUCGCCAUCCAACCGAACGAGCGUUACCGACUGCUGCGCCGCAGCACCGAGCACUGGUGGCACGUGCGGCGGGAGCCCGGGGGUCGCCCCUUCUACCUCCCCGCGCAGUACGUACGCGAGCUGCCCGCGCUCGGCGACCCUGCCCCGGCCCCGCAGCCUUCCGUACCGCAGCAGCGCCCCGCAGUCCCGGAACCUCUGGCCUACGACUACCGCUUCGUGAGCACCCCGGUGGGCGCCGAUGGGUCCUCUGCCGAGCCCCGGGGCCGCGCCAGCUCCCUGUGUGGCCCUGCACGACAGCGCACCGGUGGCCAGCGCAACAGCCUGGCUCCGGGAGGGCCCGCCUGCCUUUACGUGCGGCCCGCGGCGCCUGUGCGACCGGCGCAGUCCCUGGAUGACUUGGCGCGCGGCGGUACCGCGCCCCCUGCCGGCCUCCUCGGCAGCGCGGGCCACUUCAAGGCCUCCAGCGUGGCGGGCUCCUGGGUUUGUCCCCGGCCCCUGGCGCCUAGCGACUCGGAGAAUGUCUACGAGGCCAUUCCGGACUUGCGCUGCCCUCCGCGGGCAGAGAGCCCAAAGCAGGUGGACGACCCCCCGGAACCAGUGUAUGCCAAUGUAGAGAGGCAACCUCGGGCCACGUCGCCUCGCUCAGCUGCAGCUCCUCCUCGGCUCAGCCCAGUGUGGGAGACACACACAGACACGGGCACUGGGCGCCCCUACUACUACAACCCCGACACGGGCGUGACCACCUGGGAGUCACCCUUUGAAACACCUGAAGGCACCACCAGCCCGGCCACCUCCCGGGCCUCUGUGGGUAGCGGGGAGAGCCUGGAGACAGAGUGGGGCCAGUACUGGGAUGAGGAGAGCCGCAGGGUCUUCUUCUACAACCCCUUGACCGGUGAGACGGCCUGGGAGGACGAGACCGAGGAGCUGGAGGAAGAUCACCAGGAACAACUGGAAAUGCAACCCAGCCUGAGCCCGCGAAGCCCCGGGCAGCAGAGGCCCCCAACUCCUGAAACAGACUACCCCGAAUUACUGGCCAGUUACCCUGAAGAGGACUACUCUCCUGUGGGCUCCUUCAGUGAUCCGGGCCCCGCUUCUCCUUUGGUUGCACCCCCUGGCUGGUCCUGUCAAAUUACCCCAGACAAACAGAUGCUCUACACCAACCAGUUCACUCAAGAGCAGUGGGUAAGGUUGGAGGACCAGCACGGGAAGCCAUAUUUCUACAACCCAGAGGACUCCUCUGUUCAGUGGGAGCUACCCCAGGUCCCGAUCCCUGCCCCCCGAAGUGUCCGCAAAUCCAGCCAGGAUAGCGACACUCCAGCCCAGGCUAGCCCUCCAGAGGAGAAGAUCAAGACUCUGGACAAGGCAGGAGUCCUCCAUCGUACCAAGACGGUAGACAAGGGGAAGAGACUUCGGUCCUGUGAGGAAACGGGAUCCUACGGUCCUUUGGCUACCAGCUAUCUGGGGGAACCCAGCCCUCUCAGGCCAGUACCCCAAGCUAUGUUUUUAAAACUCAAUGCCCUAGUGUGUAUUUGGGUUCAGUGAGUCCUCCAGCCCAGGAGCAAAUUUAAGCCCUACCCACCGCCACUUCCUCCUUCCUCAGGAAGAAACACUGGAGCACCUCCUGGACAGUGUUGGAGGGCGGGGUCCUGACCUUCUUCAAGGACUCAAAGACCUCAGCUGCAGGCGGCCUGAGGCAGCCUUCCAAGCUCUCCACCCCUGAAUACACAGUCGAACUGAAGGGGGCCUCUCUCUCUUGGGCCCCCAAAGACAAAUCCAGCAAGAAGAAUGUGUUAGAGCUUCGAAGCCGAGAUGGCUCGGAGUACCUGAUCCAGCACGACUCCGAAGCCAUCAUCAGCACCUGGCACAAAGCCAUUGCCGAAGGCAUCUCAGAGCUGUCUGCAGACCUGCUCCAAGGGGAGGAAGGUGAGCCCAGCAGUGCUGAUUUCGGGUCCAGUGAGCGCCUCGGAAGCUGGCGGGAGGAGGAUGUACGGCAGAACGCAGCCUCACCCUCGCUCAGCCCCGGAGGCCUGGAAAGCGACUUGAGCAGAGUCCGGCACAAGCUCCGUAAAUUCCUACAGAGACGACCCACUCUGCAGUCUUUGCGGGACAAGGGCUACAUCAAAGACCAGGUGUUUGGAUGCGCGCUGGCUCAACUGUGUGAGCGCGAGAGGAGCCCUGUGCCACGCUUCGUGCAGCAAUGCAUCCGCACCGUCGAGGCCCGGGGGCUGGAUAUUGAUGGGCUGUACCGCAUCAGUGGGAACCUGGCUACCAUCCAGAAGCUGCGCUAUAAGGUGGAUCACGAUGAACGCUUGGACUUGGACGACGGGCGCUGGGAAGACGUCCACGUGAUCACGGGUGCCCUGAAGCUCUUCUUCCGAGAGCUGCCGGAACCUCUCUUCCCCUUCUCGCACUUCCACCAGUUCAUAGCAGCCAUUAAGCUGCAGGACCCAGCCCAGCGCAGCCGCUGCGUGCGUGACCUGGUGCGCACGCUGCCAGCUCCCAACCAGGACACGCUCCGACUGCUCAUCCAGCAUCUCUGCCGGGUCAUCGAGCAUGGCGAGCAGAACCGUAUGACUGUGCAGAAUGUGGCCAUAGUGUUCGGACCCACGCUGCUGCGGCCAGAGAUGGAGGAGGCCAGCAUGCCCAUGACCAUGGUGUUCCAGAACCAGGUGGUGGAGCUCAUCCUACAUCAGUGCGCGGACAUCUUCCCACCGCACUGACUGUGGACCGUGGGUUAGCUGGAGGCCGUGAGGCUGGACCUCCUCUGAGGCUCUCCGCUUCCCACCCCCGCUGCACUGUGACUUCAACGCCCUUCCAUUCAGAGGGUACAGUGACCCCUGGUGGGCAGUUCAUGAAAUGUGAUUUCUCCCUCUCGCGUCCCCAUUAGGGCCAUUUCCCUAAUUACAGCGCCGCCUAUUGUGUGGAUGUGAGAACGUGCCUGGUGGAGGGAAAUGAAUGUCUUUCUAGUUCCACCACCACCACCCACCCACAGCUGGGAGAGGGGAUUUUGGUGAGGGCGUUCUGGUUUCCUUAAGCCUGUACCUGUCCAGGCCUUGGUGGAGACCCUGUAGGCCCCAUGCUACGCAAGAGGUCAUGAAGCAGCUACUGACAUUGUCUCUGCUGCCAGGGGAGGACUGACCCUGGCUGCCAGCCCAGGCCACUGACUGCCUCCCUCAGCCUUCUGCUCCAGUGCCACCCUGAUGCAGGCCUCCUGAGAACUUUUCCGAUGCUUCCCUCUCUCCUUGGGCCACACCCGCUCUCUACAGACGUUCUUCAUACUAACCACAUACCAAACCUGGCAAUCUGGGGCUUGCAGAAGUCACAGUACUUCAGGGGUCCAUAGGUGAUCUGAUUCCCUGCAAAGGCUAUCCCCACAGCAAGCCCAGCUUCUAGAAGAGGGAGUCACGCCCCUGCCCCACUGCAGCACAGCCUGUAGGUAGACCAGAGUAAAUGCUGGAGCACUUCGUGUAGGUUAGAGGUUGGGGGCCCCCCGAAGGCAGCAGGGAACCUACCACAGCUGUUUGGGGGGGCAGCAUGAAUAGAAGCCUCCAGCUGCUGUCUACACCCUGGCUGGGUGCCUACCUAAAGCCCCCAACCACUGUCUACAUCCUGGCUGGCUGGAUGCCUACCUGGUACCCACUUGCCAUGCAGAGGCCUGUCCGGGAGGUCACAGCCUUAGGCAAACAGUUGAACCUGUGUCAACUGCCCGCUUCCUCCCUCGUGCACCUCAAUCUAUGGAUCUGAGCCCCCAGCUCCACCCACCCCCACUGACUCAACAAACAAUAAUAGCUAAUAUUUAUUGAGCAUUCAGACUAUGCCAGCCUUUCCCACAGGCUUCUCCCUUGGUUUCAUGCAGUCCAUAUUUAUUGUGGGUCCUCAUGUGCCUGGCACUGUGCCCUGGGGCAGGGGUUCUACGCAUGCGUUCUGGAGCUUGGGGCUCCCAGUGAGUACGGCUGAUGCAAGCCCAGCCCUGAUGGUAGCAGGGCGCAGAAGAGAACAAAUAGAGGCCUCUUGCUGUACACCUAUAUAUUUAAAGUCCUAAGGCAAGCUAAUGACUAACUGUUAAAUAAAAUGUUUAUUCUCCUA